rnacentral:rRNA from 1 species
GACAGAGGGUGCAAACGUUGUUCGGAAUUACUGGGCGUAAAGGGCUCGUAGGCGGCCAACUAAGUCGGACGUGAAAUCCCUCAGCUUAACUGGGGAACUGCGUCCGAUACUGGAUGGCUUGGAUUUGGGAGAGGGAUGCGGAAUUCCAGGUGUAGCGGUGAAAUGCGUAGAUAUCUGGAGGAACACCGGUGGCGAAGGCGGCAUCCUGGACCAAUAUUGACGCUGAGGAGCGAAAGCCAGGGGAGCAAACGGG